ensembl:lincRNA uncharacterized LOC110290046
CUCUGGAGAGUAGAGAAUAUGCCUUCUCUUCUGCCCCUCCAGGAACCUUACUUUUUUUUUUUUUUAAACAAAAAACAAAAACAAAAAACAAAAAACAAAACAAACAAAAAACAACCACCACCUUUUAUUUAAAAGUCUAACCUUGGGAAUUUGCUGGGGAGAAGGAACUAGGUGAAUAUUGCCCUGGGUCCUGGUAAUUCUACCUACUGAAGACAAAAGCCCCUUCUGCUCAUAUUUCCUGAGUCAACAUGGCCGUUCCUAACUUUGAAGAGACUUUAGACAUUCUUUGUUACAAUGAGCCCAGAAGAAAGAAGAGAAAUAUUACAGCGACUGUGCCCGGGACUGUAAGACGGAUAAGACCCAGCAGUUUCUGUGAAUGGGUUCAUUUCUUUAAGAAUAACUGCCAUGGAAGGAUGCUCCUCCUGCCAAUUGGCACUUAUCAAUGACAUCGAGGGAGAGGGACAGAGUGCCUAGGUAUGAGCCUUCAUCAAGUAGUAUGAAGGCCCUACCCCAACAGAAAGUGCUGAUGUGAAGAAGUGAUGCUUUGGACAAGACUUUUCCUCCAAGUUGGUCCUAUCCAGAGGUUGGCAAACAGGGUCCCUGGACAUCAUCCCUGUUGUGUACUAUUAUGAAUAAAGUUCUAUAGGACAC